rnacentral:rRNA from 1 species
GACGAACGCUGGCGGCGUGCUUAACACAUGCAAGUCGAACGGAAAGGCCCUGCUUUUGUGGGGUGCUCGAGUGGCGAACGGGUGAGUAACACGUGAGUAACCUGCCCUUGACUUUGGGAUAACUUCAGGAAACUGGGGCUAAUACCGGAUAGGAGCUCCUGCUGCAUGGUGGGGGUUGGAAAGUUUCGGCGGUUGGGGAUGGACUCGCGGCUUAUCAGCUUGUUGGUGGGGUAGUGGCUUACCAAGGCUUUGACGGGUAGCCGGCCUGAGAGGGUGACCGGCCACAUUGGGACUGAGAUACGGCCCAGAAUCCUACGGGAGGCAGAAGUGGGGAAUAUUGCACAAUGGGCGGAAGCCUGAGGCAGCGACGCCGCGUGCGUGAUGACGGCCUUCGGGUUGUAAACCGCUUUCGCCUGUGACGAAGCGUGAGUGACGGUAAUGGGUAAAGAAGCACCGGCUAACUACGUG